CGCGAAACCUUUACACUGCACGACAGUGCGAUAGGGGAACUCCGAGUGCGAGGGCAUAGAGCCCUCGCUUUUCUGCACCGUAAGGUGGUGCAGGAACAAGUGCUGGGCAAGACCGGUGCCAGCCGCCGCGGUAAUACCGGCAGCACGAGUGAUGGCCGAUCUUAUUGGGCCUAAAGCGUCCGUAGCUGGCCGUGCAAGUCCGUCGGGAAAUCCAGUGGCUCAACCUCUGGGCUUCCGGCGGAAACUGCUCGGCUUGGGACCGGAAGACUCGAGGGGUACGUUCGGGGUAGGAGUGAAAUCCCGUAAUCCUGAACGGACCACCGAUGGCGAAAGCACCUCGAGAGCACGGAUCCGACAGUGAGGGACGAAAGCUAGGGUCUCGAACCGGAUUAGAUACCCGGGUAGUCCUAGCUGUUAACGAUGCCCGCUCGGUUCGGCGCAGGCUACGAGCCUGUGCCGCGCCUCAGUGAAGACGUAAGCGGGCCGCCUGGGAAGUACGUCCGCAAGGAUGAAACUUAAAGGAAUUGGCUGGGGAGCACUACAACCGGAGGAGCCUGCGGUUUAAUUG
rnacentral:rRNA from 1 species